UACGUAGGGGGCAAGCGUUGUCCGGAAUCAUUGGGCGUAAAGCGCGCGUAGGCGGCCCGAUAAGUCUGCUGUGAAAGUCCAGGGCUCAACCCUGGAAUGCCGGUGGAUACUGUCGGGCUAGAGUUCGGAAGAGGCAAGUGGAAUUCCGUGGUGUAGCGGUGGAAUGCGCAGGAUAUCAGGAGGAACACCUAUAGCGAAGGCAGCUUGCUGGGACGACACUGACGCUGAGACGCGAAAGCGUGGGGAGCAAACAGG
rnacentral:rRNA from 1 species